UAGAAAAUAGCAUAAUGAAGUGCUGAAGAUUUUGAGUUUUAAAGUGUGGGUUCGAGUCCCAUUUUUCU
rnacentral:tRNA from 1 species